rnacentral:misc_RNA from 1 species
GAAAUGCGAUAAGUAAUGUGAAUUGCAGAAUUCAGUGAAUCAUCGAAUCUUUGAACGCACAUUGCGCCCGCCAGCACUCUGGCGGGCAUGCCUGUCCGAGCGUCAUUACAACCCUCAGGCCCCCGGGCCUGGCGUUGGGGAUCGGCAGAAGCCCCCUGUGGGCACACGCCGUCCCUCAAAUACAGUGGCG